rnacentral:rRNA from 1 species
AUCACGGGAGACACACGGCGGGUGCUAACGUCCGUCGUGAAGAGGGAAACAACCCAGACCGCCAGCUAAGGUCCCAAAGUCAUGGUUAAGUGGGAAACGAUGUGGGAAGGCCCAGACAGCCAGGAUGUUGGCUUAGAAGCAGCCAUCAUUUAAAGAAAGCGUAAUAGCUCACUGGUCGAGUCGGCCUGCGCGGAAGAUGUAACGGGGCUAAACCAUGCACCGAAGCUGCGGCAGCGAACGUAUCACUUAAAGCGAUUCAGCGGGUUACGAUUGACGGAGCGAAGCGACGUCAAAGCGUAUACAAAGUCGAGUCGGUUUAAGGAUACGUUCGUUGGGUAGGGGAGCGUUCUGUAAGCCCGUGAAGGUGGCCUGUGAGGGUUGCUGGAGGUAUCAGAAGUGCGAAUGCUGACAUAAGUAACGAUAAAGCGGGUGAAAAGCCCGCUCGCCGGAAGACCAAGGGUUCCUGUCCAACGUUAAUCGGGGCAGGGUGAGUCGACCCCUAAGGCGAGGCCGAAAGGCGUAGUCGAUGGGAAACGGGUUAAUAUUCCCGUACUUGGUGUUACUGCGAAGGGGGGACGGAGAAGGCUAUGUUGGCCGGGCGACGGUUGUCCCGGUUUAAGCGUGUAGGUGUGUGUUCCAGGUAAAUCCGGUUCACUUUAACACUGAGGCGUGACGACGAGGCACUACGGUGCUGAAGCAACAAAUGCCCUGCUUCCAGGAAAAGCCUCUAAGCAUCAGGUAACACGAAAUCGUACCCCAAACCGACACAGGUGGUCAGGUAGAGAAUACCAAGGCGCUUGAGAGAACUCGGGUGAAGGAACUAGGCAAAAUGGUGCCGUAACUUCGGGAGAAGGCACGCUGACACGUAGGUGAAGUGAUUUACUCAUGGAGCUGAAGUCAGUCGAAGAUACCAGCUGGCUGCAACUGUUUAUUAAAAACACAGCACUGUGCAAACACGAAAGUGGACGUAUACGGUGUGACGCCUGCCCGGUGCCGGAAGGUUAAUUGAUGGGGUCAGCGCAAGCGAAGCUCCUGAUCGAAGCCCCGGUAAACGGCGGCCGUAACUAUAACGGUCCUAAGGUAGCGAAAUUCCUUGUCGGGUAAGUUCCGACCUGCACGAAUGGCGUAAUGAU